AGAACGAACGCUGGCGGCAGGCUUAACACAUGCAAGUCGAACGGUUGUAGCAAUACAGCAGUGGCAGACGGGUGAGUAACACGUGGGAACGUGCCCUUUGGUACGGAACAACUCCGGGAAACUGGAGCUAAAUACCGUAUGUGCCCUUCGGGGGAAAGAUUUAUCGCCAAAGGAUCGGCCCGCGUCUGAUUAGCUAGUUGGUAGGGUAACGGCCUACCAAGGCUACGAUCAGUAGCUGGUCUGAGAGGAUGAUCAGCCACAUUGGGACUGAGACACGGCCCAAACUCCUACGGGAGGCAGCAGUGGGGAAUAUUGGACAAUGGGCGCAAGCCUGAUCCAGCCAUGCCGCGUGAGUGAUGAAGGCCUUAGGGUUGUAAAGCUCUUUCGGCGGGACGAUAAUGACGGUACCCGCAGAAGAAGCCCGGCUAACUUCGCGCCAGCAGCCGC
rnacentral:rRNA from 1 species